rnacentral:rRNA from 1 species
GUGCCAGCCGCCGCGGUAAUACAGAGGUCCCAAGCGUUGUUCGGAUUCACUGGGCGUAAAGGGUGCGUAGGUGGUGGGGUAAGUUUGAGGUGAAAGCUCCGGGCUCAACCCGGAAAUGGCCUUGAAGACUAUCCUGCUCGAGGGUUGGAGGGGGGACUGGAAUUCUCGGUGUAGCAGUGAAAUGCGUAGAUAUCGAGAGGAACACCAGUGGCGAAGGCGAGUCCCUGGACAACACCUGACACUGAGGCACGAAAGCUAGGGGAGCAAACGGGAUUAGAUACCCGGGUAGUCC